rnacentral:rRNA from 1 species
GACGAACGCUGGCGGCGUGCUUAACACAUGCAAGUCGAACGGAAAGGCCCUGCUUUUGUGGGGUGCUCGAGUGGCGAACGGGUGAGUAACACGUGAGUAACCUGCCCUUGACUUUGGGAUAACUUCAGGAAACUGGGGCUAAUACCGGAUAGGAGCUCCUGCUGCAUGGUGGGGGUUGAAAAGUUUCGGCGGUUGGGGAUGGACUCGCGGCUUAUCAGCUUGUUGGUGGGGUAGUGGCUUACCAAGGCUUUGACGGGUAGCCGGCCUGAGAGGGUGACCGGCCACAUUGGGACUGAGAUACGGCCCAGACUCCUACGGGAGGCAGCAGUGGGGAAUAUUGCACAAUGGGCGGAAGCCUGAUGCAGCAACGCCGCGUGCGGGAUGACGGCCUUCGGGUUGUAAACCGCUUUCGCCUGUGACGAAGCGUGAGUGACGGUAAUGGGUAAAGAAGCACCGGCUAACUACGUGCCAGCAGUCGCGGUGAUACGUAGGGUGCGAGCGUUGUCCGGAUUUAUUGGGCGUAAAGGGCUCGUAGGUGGUUGAUCGCGUCGGAAGUGUAAUCUUGGGGCUUAACCCUGAGCGUGCUUUCGAUACGGGUUGACUUGAGGAAGGUAGGGGAGAAUGGAAUUCCUGGUGGAGCGGUGGAAUGCGCAGAUAUCAGGAGGAACACCAGUGGCGAAGGCGGUUCUCUGGGCCUUUCCUGACGCUGAGGAGCGAAAGCGUGGGGAGCGAACAGGCUUAGAUACCCUGGUAGUCCACGCUGUAAACGGUGGGUACUAGGUGUGGGGUCCAUUCCACGGGUUCCGUGCCGUAGCUAACGCUUUAAGUACCCCGCCUGGGGAGUACGGCCGCAAGGCUAAAACUCAAAGGAAUUGACGGGGCCCCGCACAAGCGGCGGAGCAUGCGGAUUAAUUCGAUGCAACGCGUAGAACCUUACCUGGGUUUGACAUGGAUCGGGAGUGCUCAGAGAUGGGUGUGCCUCUUUUGGGGUCGGUUCACAGGUGGUGCAUGGCUGUCGUCAGCUCGUGUCGUGAGAUGUUGGGUUAAGUCCCGCAACGAGCGCAACCCUUGUUCACUGUUGCCAGCACGUUAUGGUGGGGACUCAGUGGAGACCGCCGGGGUCAACUCGGAGGAAGGUGGGGAUGACGUCAAGUCAUCAUGCCCCUUAUGUCCAGGGCUUCACGCAUGCUACAAUGGCUGGUACAGAGAGUGGCGAGCCUGUGAGGGUGAGCGAAUCUCGGAAAGCCGGUCUCAGUUCGGAUUGGGGUCUGCAACUCGACCUCAUGAAGUCGGAGUCGCUAGUAAUCGCAGAUCAGCAACGCUGCGGUGAAUACGUUCCCGGGGCU